rnacentral:rRNA from 1 species
UNUUACGUCUGGCAAUUGGAAUGAGAACAAUCUAAAUCCCUUAUCGAGGAUCAAUUGGAGGGCAAGUCUGGUGCCAGCAGCCGCGGUAAUUCCAGCUCCAAUGGCGUAUAUUUAAGUUGUUGCGGUUAAAAAGCUCGUAGUUGGAUUUCGGGCGUGGAGGUUCGGUCCGCCGUUUCGGUGUGCACUGUCUUUCUGCGUCUUUCUGUCGGGGACGCGCUUCUGGCCUUAAUUGGCUGGGACGUGGAUCCGACGAGGUUACUUUGAAAAAACUAGAGUGUUCAAAGCAAGCUAAAGCUCUGAAUACAUUAGCAUGGAAUAACGCGAGAGGACUCGGUCCUUAUUUUGUUGGUCUUCAAGGAUGGAGUAAUNAUUAAGAGGGACAGUUGGGGGCAUUCGUAUUUCAUUGCUAGAGGUGAAAUUCUUGGAUUUAUGAAAGACGAACUUCUGCGAAAGCAUUUGCCAAGGAUGUUUUCAUUGAUCAAGAACGAAAGUUNGGGGNUCGAAGAUGAU